GACGAACGCUGGCGGCGUGCCUAAUACAUGCAAGUCGAACGCUUCUUUCCUCCCGAGUGCUUGCACUCAAUUGGAAAGAGGAGUGGCGGACGGGUGAGUAACACGUGGGUAACCUACCCAUCAGAGGGGGAUAACACUUGGAAACAGGUGCUAAUACCGCAUAACAGUUUAUGCCGCAUGGCAUAAGAGUGAAAGGCGCUUUCGGGUGUCGCUGAUGGAUGGACCCGCGGUGCAUUAGCUAGUUGGUGAGGUAACGGCUCACCAAGGCCACGAUGCAUAGCCGACCUGAGAGGGUGAUCGGCCACACUGGGACUGAGACACGGCCCAGACUCCUACGGGAGGCAGCAGUAGGGAAUCUUCGGCAAUGGACGAAAGUCUGGCCGAGCAACGCCGCGUGAGUGAAGAAGGUUUUCGGAUCGUAAAACUCUGUUGUUAGAGAAGAACAAGGACGUUAGUAACUGAACGUCCCCUGACGGUAUCUAACCAGAAAGCCACGGCUAACUACGUGCCAGCAGCCGCGGUAAUACGUAGGUGGCAAGCGUUGUCCGGAUUUAUUGGGCGUAAAGCGAGCGCAGGCGGUUUCUUAAGUCUGAUGUGAAAGCCCCCGGCUCAACCGGGGAGGGUCAUUGGAAACUGGGAGACUUGAGUGCAGAAGAGGAGAGUGGAAUUCCAUGUGUAGCGGUGAAAUGCGUAGAUAUAUGGAGGAACACCAGUGGCGAAGGCGGCUCUCUGGUCUGUAACUGACGCUGAGGCUCGAAAGCGUGGGGAGCAGACAGGAUUAGAUACCCUGGUAGUCCACGCCGUAAACGAUGAGUGCUAAGUGUUGGAGGGUUUCCGCCCUUCAGUGCUGCAGCAAACGCAUUAAGCACUCCGCCUGGGGAGUACGACCGCAAGGUUGAAACUCAAAGGAAUUGACGGGGGCCCGCACAAGCGGUGGAGCAUGUGGUUUAAUUCGAAGCAACGCGAAGAACCUUACCAGGUCUUGACAUCCUUUGACCACUCUAGAGAUAGAGCUUUCCCUUCGGGGACAAAGUGACAGGUGGUGCAUGGUUGUCGUCAGCUCGUGUCGUGAGAUGUUGGGUUAAGUCCCGCAACGAGCGCAACCCUUAUUGUUAGUUGCCAUCAUUUAGUUGGGCACUCUAGCGAGACUGCCGGUGACAAACCGGAGGAAGGUGGGGAUGACGUCAAAUCAUCAUGCCCCUUAUGACCUGGGCUACACACGUGCUACAAUGGGAAGUACAACGAGUCGCUAGACCGCGAGGUCAUGCAAAUCUCUUAAAGCUUCUCUCAGUUCGGAUUGCAGGCUGCAACUCGCCUGCAUGAAGCCGGAAUCGCUAGUAAUCGCGGAUCAGCACGCCGCGGUGAAUACGUUCCCGGGCCU
rnacentral:rRNA from 1 species